GCUGGAACAACUGUUGGUUCAAUUGUGGGGAUAAUACUUAUGGUGAUAGCAGGGAUUUUCAAGCUGCGUAAAUGUAGAGAAAAACAAAGUGAAGGUAACAAAACUCAACAUGCAGGUAAAAACAGAGGAUUCUGUUGUCAUUGUAUGUGCUGUUGUUCGUA